AAACUAGAUUAGAUACCCUAUUAUGCUUAGCCGUAAACCUAAAUAAUUAAUAAACAAAAUUAUUCGCCAGAGUACUACAAGCAACAGCUUAAAACUCAAAGGACUUGGCGGUGCUUUAUAUCCCUCUAGAGGAGCCUGUUCUAUAAUCGAUAAACCCCGAUAAACCUCACCACUUCUUGCUAAUUCAACUUAUAUACCGCCAUCCUCAGCAAACCCUGUCAAGGCCUCAAAGUAAGCAAAAACACAUACAUAAAAACGUUAGGUCAAGGUGUAGUCUAUGAAGUGGAAAGAAAUGGGCUACAUUUUCUAACAUAAGAAUAACAUCCCAACAGAAGCCUUUAUGAAACUAAAAGCCAAAGGAGGAUUUAGCAGUAAAUUAAGAAUAGAGAGCUUAAUUGAAUUGGGCCAUGAAGCACGCACACAUCGCCCGUCGCUCUU
rnacentral:rRNA from 1 species